UUUCAGCUCUGUUUGGCUCAUCUUCCAUGUAUUGAGGCCACCUAAUACAGGACUUCUGCUUUGGGAAUGGUAUCUGCAUUGCUACAGUGGGGCACUGUGUUUCAACUGAGGCAGUGACAAAAUUGUUCAGACCCCACAGCUUCCUGAAGUGCCUUUCAGCAGAUCUACAUGGCUGAGCAAAUGCAAGGGCUCCGAUCCUCUUUAAAACUAGGCCAGGGAACAAGGAGAUUGCAGAGGGUCUUGUCUCUACAGCUAAUUCAACUUGCACAUAACCUAUAAGUAUGGAAAUCAAGGGGACAAUAAUAAACCAGAUCCCUUUCAAGUGCUGGUAUCUGCUGGUAUUUGGGGUAGCACAGCAGUGCUAUGGAUGGGAUGUGAAUGAAUGAAGUAAUAAAGAGCAUUUUCAGGUGUCAAACAAAGGUUUAAGGUUGGGUACUGUGCUCAUGAC